rnacentral:miRNA from 1 species
AGAGGAGAAUAACGUCGAACGG